GGCUUCAUGUCUUCUUCCUGCUCACAGAAAUAGACCCAGGCUGCUUUUCCUUUCCAGGAGAAAAUGCGAGUGGAAGGCUGUGGGUCUCCCUGCAAGGGCUCAGCUGGCCCGGACCCAGACUCCUGUACUCACAUUCCAGUGCUCUUUCCACUUCUCCUGAGGAGCAAAUCUCAUGGUGCUGACGGAGGGAGCCUUGUUACUUCAACACACCUCCCUGUUGCACGGAACCCACGGGACGGAUCAGCGAUCCAGCCGGGCAAGUCUCCUGCCCUCAAGGAGCCCAUGAACUUGGUCCUCCUUCUCCUCCCUCCAUGCCACGAAUAUUCGCUGAGCACCUACUGGACGCUGGGUGCUGUGCCGGGUGCUGGGGAACAGCAGUGAGGUUGACGGGCCCAGCAAGAGGGAGACAGACCCCGCCCGAGCACACCAUUCCCCAAAUAAGUAACGGAAACUGAGCUGUCCCAAGCCAGGAAGGUGCAGGCGGUUGGGACGCGUGUCCGUUGGGGACCUGGUUUCUUCUGCAGUGGUGGCGAGAAAGGUCUGCUUGGAGCAAGUCUUAAAUGAUUGGGUGCUAGCUGUUGCUGUUCGAAUCCCCUCUUUUCCAGGGAUUUGGAGAUCGGGUGUCUCUCCUCCUCCCUCUUGCUGCCUCCAGGGCGAAACCUGGGGCGAGGCCCAGACUGACGGCUUUGCCUGUAGAGGCUCUGGGGAACUUUCUGAAGUCAGUGGUCCAGCUGUGGGUCGAACUUGAAAUGCCAUGUGAAUUUUUGGGUCCUUUUGAUCUGAAAUCAGGGGUUUCCCACCCAUGAAGGAGAGGAAAUGGGGAGGAGGCAGAGGCUUAAAACAAAGAAAAAUGCCUUUUAGUGUGAAGUCUCUGAUAAGGGCAGGGUUCAUGGAGAGGAGCUCAGGUAGCCGCAGUGGGAGGGUCCCCAGUCCCCAGCAUGGGGCGUGGCAUGAAGCUUGGCUGCAUUCCUGUCUGUGAAAUGAAAGGUUGGGCCAUGAUCCCUUCAGUUGGGCUCCACUGCCUUCUCCUGCUGAGGCUGGCACAGGCGGGAGCCACGCACACAGGUCUCGGCCGUCACAUGUGUAGCAGGCUACAUUUUGGCCUAAGGCACUGGGGAGCCACGGAUGAAUCUUAAGGGAGGGCAUGGCAUAAGGACAUCAUGGGAUUAGGGUUGCCGCAUAAAAUAGAGCACACCCAGUUUAAUUUAAAUUUCAGAUAAACAGUGAAUACUUUUUUCCUAUAAGUAUGUCCCAAACAUUGCAUGGGUCAUGCUUGCCCUAAACAUUUUGUUUGUUUAUCUGACAUUCGGUUGUAACUAGGCAUCCUGUGUGUUUAUUUGCUAAAUCUGGCAACCCCAAGAGGGAACAACCUUUUCCCAGCCUUCUCUUGACCUCUUGUAGUCCAGGGUGUGAGACUGAAACAGCAAAUGGGAGGAAGCCACAGGCUGGCCGAGGGGUUCCAGCAUGUCCUGGGGGCUGCCUUGCCCCUGGCCUUGGCCUCAGGACUUUUUCCUGAAACUAAAGGCAGAC